AUACAAUCAAAAAGAGUCAAACGUGGCACAUUAUUACAAUCAAACUUGUUCAUCCUGGUAACACGGCAAGGAUGAUUCAUCCUGGUAACACAUUAUUACAGAAAAAUAUGGUUCACAUCAAGUUUACAAUAAAAAAAUGUUCACAUCAGGUAACACAACUAUCACAGUAUAACUAGCUCCAAUGCUUCUCCCAACUUGUUCAUCCUGGACCUCACGGCAAAACAUGAAUGAAGGCCAGCAUCUGCAAGUUAUCAAGAAAAAUGGUUAGAACAAGCAAAAUGCGACAUUUUUACCAUUUAAGCAUAGAAGAACAGGGUCAACAACAUUUAGAUCUUUGAAAAUGAACCAGGAUUUCAAUCUUUGAACAGCAAAAAAUUGAUACAGUAGAUCAUUUGCGGUUUAAAACAACCCCUAAGGAGACACAUGUUGACACAUUCAUUUGGCAACAUCUGUAGAAAUUGAACCUCAUAAACAUGCAAUGUGGAAUUUGUAUAUCAAAGAAGUAUACAUACUUAUCAGGUUUAAUUAGCACAUAAACAUGCAAUGUGGAAUUUGUAUCUCAAAGAAGUAUACAUACUUAUCAGGUUUAAUUAGCACAGAGAAGCCAAAUGCUAGUAACUCAUGAUUAGUACACAAGACAGGAUCCAGCCCUCCUUUUGCGAUUGAGCAACAACACCCGAGGAAAUUAAAAGAAAGCAGCCCCCCAAUUCCAUUUCUAUUUUAUUACACACAUGGUGCAUACAGACUACCACUGUAAAAAAAAUACAAGAACAUGAAUGAGCAGCAGAGAAACAGAAAGUCAAUGAAGGGAGCCACAUCUCUCACUGAAUUUUAUCAGCAGUACUACAUGUUUUUCUUCCUGACAGUGAGCAGCACCACAAGUUCAUAACACACACAGGUGGUGUUCAGCAAUUGGUGACAUAAUUGCCACCCUCUUAUCUUAGCUAGUUCAGUGUAGCUAAAAGUAAACACUUCAGAACAAAUAAAGUAACAAUUCAGUGUGACUACAAGGAACAGAAAUGUAUGCGUACCUCAUGGAGGAGUGGAGGUUGGCGAAGGCGAGGGCGUCGUCGGGGCGGCCAGAGUCGAUACUCCUCCCAUGUCAUCCGCUGCAUCCUCUCAUGCUCCUGCAUGUACGUGUCCACCUGCACCCGUCGCAACCCAAUCUUAGUAAGCUUCACUCUGAAUAAAAUCAGCAAUCUAAGAC
rnacentral:lncRNA from 1 species